rnacentral:tRNA from 13 species
UCCUUUGAGCAGGAUUCGAACCUGCAAUUUUCAUAACUACGUUAUGACGCAUUACCAUUAUGCCACCACAGG